rnacentral:rRNA from 1 species
GACGAACGCUGGCGGCGUGCCUAAUACAUGCAAGUCGAGCGAAGCGGCGGAUGGGUGAGUCACGCGUGGCUAACCUGCCCUUAAGUCUUGGAUACUAUUUGGAAACAGAUACUAAUACCGGGUACUAAAGGAUGGACCUGCGAUGCAUUGGCUAGUUGGUAAGGUAACGGCUUACCAAGGCGAUGAUGCAUAGCCGAGGUGAGAGACUGAUCGGCCACAUUGGGACUGAGACACGGCCCAAACUCCUACGGGAGGCAGCAGUAGGGAAUCUUCCACAAUGGACGAAAGUCUGAUGGAGCAACGCCGCGUGAGUGAAGAAGGUUUUCGGAUCGUAAAGCUCUGUUGUUGGUGAAGCGGUAAUUAACCAGAAAGUCACGGCUAACUACGUGCCAGCAGCCGCGGUAAUAC